UCGAAUGUAUAGUGAAACCAAACAUUUCUGACGAUAAGAUUUAUUGAGCUGAAUGGAGUGAGAAGAGCAAGACUCUAGUCUGGAAUAAAUUUCUGGUAAUCUUUAAAUUUGGUUUACUUUUUUUUCAUAUUUCUAAUUAGUUAGAAAUAUUAACAACUUAUUUUUCGCUUUUAGACAUUUUUCACUUUCGAAGAUAACGAUUAUACUCAAACCGCGUUCGACAAAUAUUUGAUAAUGAACUAUCCUAAAUGGAUGAAAGCCCAGGAACAUGUGAAGAAGCUAGCAUGUGUGGGUACCCUAUACGACAGUUGCAAGAACUUUCCUCCCGGAUACCUGCGAAAGAACCAAUGGGAAAGAAUGAUGACGGAGUUCUUGUCAAGCGAAUUUUAAGAAAAGUCCAAGAAGAAUUCUGAAAACCGCCGUACAAGUAAUAAAGGAUACAUCGUCUAUAAAGGAG
rnacentral:lncRNA from 1 species